rnacentral:rRNA from 1 species
GUGCGGUGAAAUGCGUGAGAUCUGGGGGAGCCCCGUGGGGAGGGGCCCCCUGGUCAUAGAAAGACGCUUCAGGUGCGAAAGACUGGGGAGCACCCAGGAGUGUAUAUCCCCGGUGGUCCUCCCCCGCAAACAAUGUUGCCUAUGAGGAGGUGGCCUCCCGCCGCCGCCUCCUCAGGAAACACGUUAAUAACUCCACCCGGGGGGAGGCCCCCCCAGGGUUAAACCUAAAAUGAAUCGGGGGGCGCCCGCACCAGGGGUGGAGCAUGUGUUUUUUAUUUGAUGCAACGGGAAGACCCUUCCCUACUUUCGACAUCCAGAGAAUUUAGCAGAGAUGCUUUUGUGCCUUCGGGAACUGUGAGACAGGUGCUGCAUGGCUGUCGUCAGCUCGUGUUGUGAAAUGUUGGGUUAAGUCCCGCAACGAGCGCAACCCUUAUCCUUUGUUGCCAGCGGUUAGGCCGGGAACUCAAAGGAGACUGCCAGUGAUAAACUGGAGGAAGGUGGGGAUGACGUCAAGUCAUCAUGGCCCUUACGAGUAGGGCUACACACGUGCUACAAUGGCGCAUACAAAGAGAAGCGACCUCGCGAGAGCAAGCGGACCUCAUAAAGUGCGUCGUAGUCCGGAUUGGAGUCUGCAACUCGACUCCAUGAAGUCGGAAUCGCUAGUAAUCGUGGAUCAGAAUGCCACG